rnacentral:tRNA from 1 species
GCUCGGGUGGCGGAAUUGGUAGACGCAAGGGACUUAAAAUCCCUCGAGAUAAUAUCUCGUACGAGUUCGAUUCUCGUCCCGAGUACCA